rnacentral:rRNA from 1 species
GACGAACGCUGGCGGCGUGCCUAAUACAUGCAAGUCGAACGCAGUGGGGACGGGUGAGUAACACGUGGGUAACCUCCCAUCAGAGGGGAUAACCCUUGGAAACAGGUGCUAACCCGCUACUGAUGGAUGGACCCGCGGUGCAUUAGCUAGUUGGUGGGGUAACGGCUCACCAAGGCCACGAUGCCUAGCCGACCGUAGAGGGUGAUCAGCCACACUGGGACUGAGACACGGCCCAGACGCCUACGGGAGGCAGCAGUAGGGAAUAUUGGGCAAUGGACGAAAGGCUGAUCGAGCAACGCCGCGUGAGUGAAGAAGGUGUUCGGAUUGUAAAACACUGUUGUUAGAGAAGCGGUAUCUAACCAGAAAGCCACGGCUAACUACGUGCCAGCAGCCGCGGUAAUUC